rnacentral:tRNA from 1 species
AGAAUUGAAAUUUUAUUCAUUUAUGGUUUCGACCCAUAUUUAGGUGUUGAUUACACCCUAUUCAG